GAUGAACGCUGGCGGCGUGCCUAACACAUGCAAGUCGAACGGACUUAAGACGCUGAUGAGGCUUCGGCGGAUUCUUGUUUUAAGUUAGUGGCGGACGGGUGAGUAACGCGUGGGCAACCUGCCUCAUACUGGGGGAUAGCAGUUGGAAACGACUGAUAAUACCGCAUAAGCGCACAGAGUCGCAUGACUCAGUGUGAAAAACUCCGGUGGUAUGAGAUGGGCCCGCGUCAGAUUAGCUAGUUGGUAAGGUAACGGCUUACCAAGGCGACGAUCUGUAGCCGGACUGAGAGGUCGGACGGCCACAUUGGGACUGAGACACGGCCCAAACUCCUACGGGAGGCAGCAGUGGGGGAUAUUGCACAAUGGAGGAAACUCUGAUGCAGCGACGCCGCGUGAGUGAAGAAGUAUUUCGGUAUGUAAAGCUCUAUCAGCAGGGAAGAAAGACUCGUAAGAGAGAUGACGUAC
rnacentral:rRNA from 1 species